UCACGGAGAGAAGUCAAGGGAAGCUUUCAAACCUUGGAGGCUGAAGUGGUUUUCAGGCAGUGUCUCCACUGCAGUGCUGUGCAGCCAUGAAGGAAGUCAACGGCUUGAAACUCUGAAAAACAAAC